rnacentral:rRNA from 1 species
UAAGGAAUAUUGCGCAAUGGGGGAAACCCUGUCGCAGCAACGCCGCGUGGAGGAUGACACUUUUCGGAGCGUAAACUCCUUUUAUCAGGAAAGAAUAAUGACGGUACCUGAUGAAUACGCACCGGCUAACUCCGUGCCAGCAGCCGCGGUAAUACGGGGGGUGCAAGCGUUACUCGGAAUCACUGGGCGUAAAGGACGCGUAGGCGGAUUAUCAAGUCUUUUGUGAAAUCUAGUGGCUUAACCACUAAACUGAUUAGGAAACUGAUAGGCUAGAGUAGGGGAGAGGUAGAUGGAAUUCUUGGUGUAGGGGUAAAAUCCGUAGAGAUCAAGAAGAAUACCCAUUGCGAAAGCGAUCUGCUGGAACCGAACUGACGCUGAGGCGUGAAAGCGUGGGUAGCAAACAGG